rnacentral:lncRNA from 1 species
GAAAAAUUUAAGAAGAGCAGCUAUUAAUUAAGCCUAGGAUUUCACAAAUACCUUCUGAGAGGCUUCUGGUGAAGAUCAAGUGUAAUAUAACAUUAAAUAUUUAGUGUGGCCUCUCAAAAGGGAUUUGAUCUUUACAUAUGAAAAAGGGAUAAGACUUAAAGAUUAAACAGAUCUUUUUAAUAUCCAGCUUCAGUUACUCAAAAUAACAAUGCAAUCUGCAGUGACUGAAGAAUUUGCAUGUGGGGGAUUAGGCAGUGAUUAAACAUCAGGGACAGCACUCAGGACUGCAGGGGAAGCUGGGCCAUUUUCAGGGUGUCACUGAGGGACACACAGAGAGGAGAAAUGCUGACAGCCCAAAGGGGUGGGGCAGCAAGAAGUGACCCCGUGCAUGAGCAAGGGUUGUGUGACGUUCAGGUGUGGUGGCCUCAUGGUCUCCCAGUUGGCCAUCAAGUGAACAGCACAUCCUACCACACUGCUGUGAUAUCUCCCUGCAUACAAGGAAGCUCAGGAGUGUUCCCAAAGGAUCUGAGGAGUCCCUCCUGCCCCAGUAUUCAAGCAGGAAAUACCACGCCACAGGCCUUUCUCCAGGACACUGUGAACACGAAACAAGCAAGCAGAACAACUGAGACCAAAACAAGAGGGUCUCAUUUUCCUUCCCCUUAUCAGCUCUUGAGAUUAUUUAUUACUUCUGAAAAUUCAGAGCAAUCCUUUCUUGCUGUGGGGCUGUGUCUAGUUCUUUGUUGGAUCCCCAGAAUGCUUCCCAUUCCCAUGGCAGCUAAGGGAUGGAAGAGAAGUUCUCUUCUUUCCCAAGCAGGAGUACCUGCCUACACCUUAGCCCAGCCUCCAGGCAAACAUCCAGGGCCUACAUGCAGGAUUGGAAUUGUCACCUCUGCAAAGCAGCUGAGAAAUGUGCAGAGCAGGAGGGAGAACAAAAAAAAAGACAACAAAUUCUCUGUAAGUGGAUUGUUCACAUAUUUGGAAUGAACACCUGGAGAGAUUGCUGACACCCCAUCUAUCCAGGCAGCUUCAGGCACUUCAGAGCAAACAGCACAGAUCCAGCUGAGAGAUAUGUGCUUUCCCAGCCUAGCCCUGUCCUGUCCCCUCCAGCCUUAUUUCCCUACAUCCUGCCUCCUCCAGCCCUGUCCCUUGUUGACCUGUUCCCUCAGUCCUUAACUGCACCCUUGAAAACCUAUCUCUGAUGUCUAUUAGGCUUUCACAUUUAAAGGGAUAAAAUGUGAUGUACAGACGCAUUGUCAGAUGGGCUCAGCUACCUGGGCAGGAGGUGAGGGGGGCCUGGUGAGAGAUGGAGGAUGGCAGGGGGGAACCAGAGUGUCCUCUUUACCUGCAGGAUGGGGU